rnacentral:lncRNA from 1 species
AUGCCACACCCGUGUGGCUGUGCUCAUGCCUCUCGGCCACUGGAGGGCUGGGGUCUUCUCGAGUCGUGGCUGUCUCGGACACAUCUGGAUAUUAUUUCUUUUCUUUUCUUUUUUUUUUUUUUGGUUCUGGAUAUUAUUUCUUUGGGGGCGGUUUCAAUCCCCUCCCCCACCCUCCUCAGCCCACCUUGGCCUAGACCACACCCCGUGCGCCUGCGUGCUGGCUUCUGUGACAUCCUUCCUGAGACCUGUCCCGUGCACGUCUGUCUGUGUCCUUCUGUUCUCCCCGCCCCUCCCCCCAGGCACUCUCUCCACUCUCUGCCGGGGCACAGGGAGAAAAAGGCCUCCCUCCGGGGACCUCAGACUGAGCCAAAACGGGAGGCAAGGAGCCCCCCGGCCUCUCCCCAGCCCUUGACAUCAACCUAACCCUGGGAGUGACAGCCCACGGCACUCCCAGCUUCAGCCUGUGCACCCGGGCACCAUUUCCAGUGUGCAAGAAAAAAGGAAGGAGGAGAAUUAGACUUUUCUAUGGAAGAAGGGAAUCUGAAGAGGAAAAUAAGGUCUGCUGUUGGCUUUCCUGAUGGGCCUGAACUAACCAGGUGAAUGAGCCCUCCUGAAGUGAGAGACCGGGAGUGUGCGAAGACCAAUGUAAAGACCCAGCCAAGGCAGAUUUCCAACCCACAGAACUGUGAGCUGAUAAAUGAGUGUUUUAUAAGCUGCUCAGUUUAUAGUGCUUUGUUACACAGCAACAACUAGCUGAUAGGCAUAGGAUAGGAGGAGAAGGAGGAAGAGAGCCAUGCGUUUAUUAUACACAACUUUUCCAUACAGCCACCUCUGAGAGGCAGGGACUGAGGCUAAGGCAGGAGGAUCCCAAGUUGAAGCCCAGCCUGGACAACUUAGUGAGACCCUGUCUCAGAAUAAAAAAACAAAAAGGGGGGCCAGGGAUUUAGCUCAGUGGUUCCGGUGCCUGCCUCGAAAGCGCAAGGUCCCGAGUUUGAUCCCCGGUACCUAAAUAAAUAAAUAAGGGUUGGGGAUGUAGCUCAAUGUGAAGGCUCUGUGUUCAAACCUCAGUACUGGAAAUAAAUGAAUAAAUAAAUAAGUAGGCAAUCACAAUAAAUGAGGGGCCAUGGCUGUGUGCCAAUAAAACUUUACUUAUGCAAAAUGAAGUUGAGUUCAAUCCCUGGUACCAAAAAAAAAAAAUGAAGUUGAGGGCGGGAGUUGGCCUGGGGCCUCAAUUUUCCACUCCAAUUCUAACAAAUCUUUCCUAUUCUCACCAACUUCUCAGUGAAGCCGACUGACCCUAGAAAUGCCACUGCUCAGAGAGAAAGGAGGCAGGAAAGGAGAAGGAGAGGAACCAGCCCACGUAGCCUCUCAUGUUUCUGGGGCUUCUAGCCAAAUAAGGACAACUGUGCCCGAAAAGAACAGCUCAGAGCAGAGAAGGGGUGGAGGUGAGGACUUUAUUCACAAAAGCAGGGGUGGAGCUGAUUCCAGGGCCAUUUGUGCUGAGCUGCAGGGCUCCUUGAAGACCAUGCAGGUGGGGACAGUGGCCAGGCAGGAGGACAACCAGGGACAGAGACACAGCCAGGGCCCCACCACAGGCUGAAAGGGACCUCUCUACAGCAGGGCCAACAAACUUUUCCUUUAAAAGGACAGGCACAGAAUAUUUUUGGGCUGUGCAGGUCAGGCAGUUUCUAUGGCAACCAUCCAACACCUCCCCACACCUCACUCAGAGCAAAUGCCAGGUGGACGCUGUGCCACUGGAUGGGUGGGGCUAUGUGCCAAUAAAACUUUAUUCAAGGGCCGGGGAUUUAGCUCAGUGGUUCCACCUCCUGCCUCGCAAGUGCAAGGUCCUGAGUUCGAUCCUCGGUACCAAAAAUCCCCACAAAAAACAAAAACCUUUCUUCAGAAAAGCAGGCAGGGGCCAAAAACAGCUGGUGAUGAAGAUUUGACACUGCUGAACUCAAAGGCCCAGGGAUGUUGCUCCCAGGGCACCUGUUUCUGCAGUGAUCUCUCUUAUGUCUUUCUUCUUUGAGUGGAGCCCCAAAACAUCUCGGGGUGAGGGGUAUAGCUCAGUGGUGAGUGAUUGCCCACCCUGGGCAAGGCCUUAGGUUCCAUCCAGCACCGCAACACAUACACACACACACACACACACACACGCACACGCACACACACACACACACCAAAGCGAUAUGUAUUUUAUGCCUUGAUUUUUACAUCUUAGGAGGGAAUCUUUAUUGAUUGAUUUUUGCAGUACUGGGGUUGGAACACAGGGCCUUCACACUAAGCUCCACCCUCACCCCUUUUUACUUUUUAUUUUGAGACAGGGUCAUGGUGAGUUGCUAGGUUGCCCAGGGUGAACUUGAACUUGUGAUCCUCCUGCCUCAGCCUCCCAGAGUGCUGGGAUGACAGGGCAUGGGCCACCAUCCCCAGCUAUUGCUAUAUUUAUUUUAUUUUAUUU